UGUGACUGAAUGAGAGAAAAGUGCCCUAGAAGCUAUUCAUUAGGAAUUCACUGGAAGCUCUCAAACAAGCCUGGCAGAAGCUGAAAUUGAAGUGGUCUCUGACCUAAUUUUCUUCUGCAUGAAACAUCUGCAUCAAGGCUCUCUUUGAUGUAUUCCACUUGGCUCUGUCUACAGUAUUGUAUCACAUGGCUUCAGUGUUGCCUCAGUUUUAAAAGACAUUUCCAGCCUGUAGAAGGACAAUUGAACUUGCAGAACUGAGCUGGCCCCUACGCAGUUCCAAACAUCUGAAAGACAACUGAAAAAUGUAUUGAAUUGAAUUGGAAAUGAAGGAAGCAACAAGUAAUAUUGCUAUUUUGGAACAGCUUCCACCCAACAAGAAGAAAAUCAUUAUUGAGAAGCAGAAAUGACAGAAAUCUUGGGAAGACAUGGCAAUUCCUCUUCAGAGUUGAUGAUGAAGUUCUGAAUGUCAGUCAUCCCUCAGGUACAUUCUACUUCGGAAGAUUUACUAUUCGGAUGCUUAGCAACCAUUUCCAAACAGGUUCACCCCUUCCCUGAGCAUUCUCUUCUAGGUUCGUUGAAAUUCCCAAACCAGGACUAAUGCAAUAAAUUUUGGCUUUGAAGGAGGUGGUGAAGGUUGUUGGAGGGAUACCCCUCAUUCCUAUUGAAUUAGCUUUCCACUGCUAAUCACAGUGAUGUUUAUUAUUUACUCUUCUAAUGUAU